rnacentral:rRNA from 1 species
AUUGAACGCUGGCGGCAGGCCUAACACAUGCAAGUCGAGCGGAGCGGCGGACGGGUGAGUAAUGCCUAGGAAUCUGCCUGGUAGUGGGGGAUAACGUCCGGAAACGGGCGCUAAUACCGCAUCCUAUCAGAUGCGCCUAGGUCGGAUUCGCUAGUGGGUGGGGUAAAGGCAUACCAAGGCGACGAUCAGUACCUGGUCUGAGAGGAUGAUCAGUCACACUGGAACGGAGACACGGCCCAGACUCCUACGGGAGGAAGCAGUGGGGAAUAUUGGACAAUGGGCGAAAGCCUGAUCCAGACAGGCGGCGUGUGUGAAGAAGGUCUUCGGAUUGUAAAGCACUUUAAGUUGGGAGGCGUUACCAACAGAAUAAGCACCGGCUAACUUCGUGCCAGCCGCCGCGGUAAUAC